AUGUAUACAGUUCUGAGUAGGGUGGCCUUUUGUAGCAGACAGAUAGUAAUUUUGUCAGUGCCAAUUGUGUUUAAAUGCAGGCCAAGAUCUUUAGGCACUGCACCCAGUGUGCCGAUCACCACUGGGACAAUCUUUACUGGCUUAUGCCAGAGUCUGGUGGAGCCCGUGGGGAACCCAUCACAUCUCACUCCGCAUUGCCCACCUUGCUCCUCAGUCCUCACCACAUCCCAUGGGGGGAAACGUUUGCCACCUGGCUUCCCUUUGUUCUUGCCUAUGCAACACAGGAAGCUUGCCAUGCUGCUGCCAUGGCAACUUAACAUGCUUUCACUUCUCUUGCACCACAGAGCACAGCUGGAUGUAGAUCGAUGUGGGAUGAGAGCUAGCAGACUCCAUGCUACAAGUGAAGUGUCAUACAACAGGCAGUUUUGCCCAUCUGAUGAGGCCCUGACACACAACUCCAAAAGCUUGGACCUCUGUCGUCUUUUUGACGGACAUUAAUUGCCUACUCUGGAAUGACGCUGGACUGACUGACUGACUACGACCUCGGACUAUCCCUUCUGUGGCUAUCGGUGGAACUUGUGAACUAAAGACGUCUGUACCUGGCUUUCGACCUCGGACCGGAUUGGGACCCUGCUGACCGUUGCUACCCUGAUUGAUGUGCCUGGAUCCGGAUUUCGUUUGUUGCACGGAGGAGUAACAACCUUAGUUACUCAUUUGUAGCUUUUGAGUAGCAGAGAGGAAUCUGCUGCCAGCUAUUUAUGUUUCAUUGAAUCUUUGUUUAUCAACUUUUGCUUGUUUAAAUUGCCAGGCUGAAGUAAGCAUUUUUGGUUUAACCCGGAUUAAAGUCCUAUUUAAUCCGGUUUAUCUUUCAAACCGCUUUUAGUACCAGCGGAGUCUUUUUUGUAUCUUUUCACAGUGAAGGCAAGUGUUUGCCUAGUCCUUUGUUUCUUACGGGCAUUUUUAGUUCUGUAACUUUAAUAAACUGUGUUGAACUUUAUUUGGUGGUGUUCUGUCUUUGACAAUUCAUUUGAAUGUAAUUAAAUACAUAUGAAUAAAUUAACACAGGAAUGAGGAACUGGACGCUGAGGAAAUGGGAUAGCAAAGACUGAAGGGCAGAGAAUUCUAGAUGACAUAGUAAAAAACUUAACUUUUCCAACUCUAGUUCUUAUAAAAUUAGAAUCUAGUUGUAUUGCCUUAUAAUACAAUCUGAUGAUAGAAGGACUGCCUGUCUUUCCCACACAUUGUGCUGAAGUGAAAAGUAAUUUAUCCCUCCAACUCUUCUUCCCCCCCCCCUUCAUAAUUAACACUAAUAGUUUAAACACCAUUGGAAGUCAAUUUCAGCCCCCAGAUUGAAAUUCUGAAUGAAACACAUAGAGAAAGUUUUCAAGGUGUUUUUCAUUUCCCCCCUUUUCAAUUCCAUGCAUCUUCAGACCAGUGACUCAGAACAGCAAACAAACUGAAAAAGAGCAAGACUGACAGGACUGCCAUUUUACUGUCAUAAAUUUGAUCCCCCUAAGGCACUUUAUGCUGAGAAAACAAUAAGUUAAAUUUUGAUCUCCU
ensembl:lncRNA